UGAGCAGAGUCCAUGAUCCCAGGUUC
rnacentral:piRNA from 1 species